CACGGUUGUCGAAAUCGGGACCUGAUCCUUCUUACCCAGGCACUGAGCUGGAAAUGACGACCGACGAAGCAGUGGGGGUGGCCGGGCAGCUGAAAAAGGGACAUUAUGGUUCCUAGAGUUUCGCUGUUUGCACAGAAUCUCAUUUCUCGGAGAGUUAUAUUUCAGCACGUCCGGAGCUUAUCCUGCGCUCUGCAACAAGUGGGUUGAAACUGGAUGUUGACUAUAUCUAAUGCAAUAGUCGUUAUAUUAUACUUGCGAUUUACCGAGCAAACGAAGCGGGGAUCGGUGCAUCAUACCCUGGAUUUCGAAGGACUUCUGGGCCUGAACCGUCUCCUUGCGAACGGCUCGUCUCUGGGCUAAAUCGACGAGGGAUGAUCUCCUCGCUACAGUCGCGACGCCGCCGUCGGAACGCUGGUUAUGGAAUUUAAGAAAACGUACACACAACCGUGUAACGGGGAGAUCAAGGAGAUACGGAAAAUGGUUCGAGAUGCGAAUUCUGGAGCGUCUAGUGCUCGAGAUCACGUCUUCGGGGUUUCUUGGGAUGAGAACCCGCGUAUGUAGAGCAGAUGCUGGCAGUGGUGGCCCCGGUGUGUGAUUUUUCACCGCCGACAGCUCCUCCUUCGAGACCCGCGCAUUCCACCUUUCGCUUCCCCCUGCCUCCCAGCAUCCUUCACUCGCUGGACCCGGCGCGGUCCAGCACUUGGUCGUCGUGGCGUGGCGUGGCUCGUACCCCCGCCAACCUGAACCUGGACGCGCCACUGGACACCGGUUGCACGAUCUUAGAUUUGCUGAUCUCGCAUUCGAAGAGCCACCAACACACCGACCGACUCUACCCAUAACCCGAUAUUCGCUCACACUCGCACUCACGCUCGGGGUCCGCCGGUGCAUGAGUUACUCCGCGAGUGACAUACGCCGCUCUUCAACACCUACCCGCAGCCACUUCCAUCCUCCACUCGAUCGCUCCUUCGUUCCUUCGUCAUCGACGAGCGUGAAUUUCACCAAUUUAUCAAGUUUCUUGACCAAUUUGUUAUUCAAGGACGUUAAAAAGAGAAUGUUCCCAGGAGACAAAAAAAAAUCCAGGAUAGUUUUCAGGACUCUUGAAGGACAAGCAAAAUUCAAGGAUAUUUUCAGGACCACUGGACACCGUCAGUCGUACACCACAGGGCAAUUGUACUUCCUCCAGAAUCAGUUGUAAUCUCAACCACGUUGGACCGAUUGUCAGUAGUUGUUACUCCCUGUUUCUCCCGAACUUGGUGUGAUCCAGAUCCGUUCAAGUGACGAUAUUCGCAAAUGAGGGUAGGUAAUUCUAUUCUGAAAAGGAUGAUACGCCUGUUUCUCGGUUCGGUAUAACACUAACGCAUAACGAUCUAAAUUUUUCACGGCACGAACUCUAUUAAGGCAUCGGUUCGUGAAUUAGUAAACCACGCCAGGGAGCCGCUUCAUUCUUCACGUGGACCUCUGUACCUAACGAACGUAUUACAAACCGACAAUAACUUGUGACCACGUAUAAUGGACGUAUAAGGUUACCGUUAACAAUCCCCACACUUCGCACGUGUGUGUGUACAGCACAGAAUUAUUGACAACCAUAACAAUUUAUGACCUGAAAGCACUUCAUCCGCGUCUCCUGUAACAAGUUUUAUCUGAUACUUUGACGCGUUGGUAGAUGAAUGACUUUUUUCUUUAAAUAACUCUAUCAGAUGGCCGUUUUCUGUUCAACGACGUCGGACGCGGAAAAAUCACUAUGGUAGGUGUGGAGUGCUCGAAAUUUAGUAGGUGCAAAAUUCCACAUCUCAUGCAUAUUUUCAGUUUCGAAAAAUUAAAGUUUGCUUCAAUUACUUGAUUAUUAACGCGAUGCUGCAAGAUCACUUGGACGAUGUAUCUAUAAUCCAUAUUAUUCACCAAUAUGUAGUUGAAUUAGAUCUUGACCUUCUGAUGAACGAAUUCAUCAACCUUAACAGCUGCGAAAAUGCAACUUUCGGCAUAUCAAAGUGAAGUGAAAUGCACGGAAAAAAAUGUAAUGUAGAUUCUACUUCGGUUGUGGUGAAUAUAUGUACAGCAAUUUUUCUGAGUAAAAUCUACAUCAAUUGUGGUAGAUUCAACCAAACAUUAGGGUGACUCAUUUUUUAAUUUUUUUUUUUUGUUAAGCUGCUACUCGAAAAGUU
rnacentral:lncRNA from 1 species